UCGGACUCUCUCUCUCCCUCCGUCACUAACUCACGCGCUCUCGCUCUCUCUAUCCCUCCCUACCUCCGUGCCCCUGCAGCGACACAGGUGUGUGAGAAGUUAGUCAUGAGAGGUGUGUGGUACCGUCUUAACAUCGUCUGCUUGGUAGCGGCGGUGGCGGCGUGGACGCUAGGCUACGCUACGAGGGUAGAAUACGUUGGUUGUUUCUUUACUGUCAUCGUCCAAAGCGACGGCACAAAACUCAGAGACGCCAUGACGUCACGUGUGAACAUGAGAAACAGCCUGACCCCUGCCACAUGCGUCAGUCACUGUGACCCACAAGGAUACACUUAUAUAGGUCUGGACGGCUGGAAUUGCCGGUGUGGCAAUAAGCCCGGCAAAAUAGGACGGGCACCGGGUUGGUGUUAUAUGCCGUGUCCCGGCGACCGCAGUGUGAUGUGCGGGGGCGACGGCAGCAGCUCUGUCUACCGUAUACACCAGGACGACUUCAAUCACAAG